rnacentral:tRNA from 1 species
AGUAAUAUAGUGUAUUUGCAUUUUAUUUUUUGGUAAUAGAGGUGUUUAGUUGACUGUUACUA